AGUGAACGCUGGCGGUAGGCCUAACACAUGCAAGUCGAACGGCAGCACAGUAAGAGCUUGCUCUUACGGGUGGCGAGUGGCGGACGGGUGAGGAAUACAUCGGAAUCUACUUUUUCGUGGGGGAUAACGUAGGGAAACUUACGCUAAUACCGCAUACGACCUACGGGUGAAAGCAGGGGAUCUUCGGACCUUGCGCGAUUGAAUGAGCCGAUGUCGGAUUAGCUAGUUGGCGGGGUAAAGGCCCACCAAGGCGACGAUCCGUAGCUGGUCUGAGAGGAUGAUCAGCCACACUGGAACUGGGACACGGUCCAGACUCCUACGGGAGGCAGCAGUGGGGAAUAUUGGACAAUGGGCGCAAGCCUGAUCCAGCCAUCCCGCGUGGGUGAAGAAGGCCUUCGGGUUGUAAAGCCCUUUUGUUGGGAAAGAAAAGCAGCAGGUUAAUACCCCGCUGUUCUGACGGUACCCAAAGAAUAAGCACCGGCUAACUUCGUG
rnacentral:rRNA from 1 species